AUUGAACGCUGGCGGCAGGCCUAACACAUGCAAGUCGAGCGAGCGGCGGACGGGUGAGUAAUGUCUGGGAAACUGCCUGAUGGAGGGGGAUAACUACUGGAAACGGUAGCUAAUACCGCAUACCAUCAGAUGUGCCCAGAGGGGAUUAGCGAGUAGGUGGGGUAACGGCUCACCUAGGCGAGGAUCCCUAGCUGGUCUGAGAGGAUGACCAGGCACACUGGAACUGAGACACGGUCCAGACGCCUACGGGAGGCAGCAGUGGGGAAUAUUGCACAAUGGGCGCAAGCCUGAUGCAGCCAGGCCGCGUGUGUGAAGAAGGCAUUCGGGUUGUAAAGUACUUUCAGCGGGGAGGCGUUACCAGCAGAAGAAGCACCGGCUAACUCCGUGCCAGCAGCCGCGGUAAUUC
rnacentral:rRNA from 1 species